rnacentral:rRNA from 1 species
CAGCCGCCGCGGUAAUACCGGCGGCCCGAGUGGCGGCCACUAUUAUUGGGCCUAAAGCGUCCGGAGCCGGGCUGGUAAGUCCUCCGGGAAAUCUGGUCGCUUAACGGUCAGAAUGCCGGAGGAUACUCCCAGCCUAGGGAGCGGGAGAGGCCGAGGGGAUUCCCGGAGUAGGGGUGAAAUCCUAUAAUCCCGGGAGGACCACCUGUGGCGAAGGCGCUCGGCUGGAACGCGUCCGACGGUGAGGGACGAAGGCCAGGGGAGCAAACCGGAUUAGAUACCCGGGUAGUCCUGGCUGUAAACGAUGCGGACUUUGUGUCGGACAAGCUAUGAGCUUGUCCGGUGCCGGAGGGAAACCGUUAAGUCCGCCGCCUGGGGAGUACGGCCGCAAGGCUGAAACUUAAAGGAAUUGGCGGG